GGCCUCGUAGCUCAGCUGGUAGAGCAUGCGCGUACAAAGCGUAGGCGGCGCCCAUGCGUGGGUUCAAAUCCCCUGCGAGGCUA
rnacentral:tRNA from 1 species